rnacentral:rRNA from 1 species
UACGAAGGGGGCUAGCGUUGCUCGGAAUCACUGGGCGUAAAGCGCACGUAGGCGGAUUGUUAAGUCAGGGGUGAAAUCCUGGAGCUCAACUCCAGAACUGCCUUUGAUACUGGCAAUCUCGAGUCCGGGAGAGGUGAGUGGAACUGCGAGUGUAGAGGUGAAAUUCGUAGAUAUUCGCAAGAACACCAGUGGCGAAGGCGGCUCACUGGCCUGGUACUGACGCUGAGGUGCGAAAGCGUGGGGAGCAAACAGGG